rnacentral:rRNA from 1 species
UACGUAGGGGGCAAGCGUUGUCCGGAUUCAUUGGGCGUAAAGAGCUCGUAGGCGGCUUGGCAAGUCGGGUGUGAAACCUCCAGCUCAACCUGGAGACGCCACCCGAUACUGCCAUGGCUAGAGUCCGGUAGGGGAGACUGGAAUUCCUGGUGUAGCGGUGAAAUGCGCAGAUAUCAGGAGGAACACCGGUGGCGAAGGCGGGUCUCUGGGCCGUUACUGACGCUGAGGAGCGAAAGCGUGGGGAGCGAACAGGA